UCUGCAGAGAGCAGAGCCGGACGUGUGAGACACCUGGCACUGAGCUGGCAUUUAGCAGUUUCUACUAUUUUCCCUCAUUAUGGGAUACAUGCUGAACUUCCUUCUCAAUCGAGACGCGUGUGAUAAAAAAAAAAAUUUAAGCGAUCGAAAGGAGUGAUGGGGAGCCAGAAUGAUUAAAUAACAAAAAAAAAAAAAAAAAUCAAUCCUCCGUUUGGUCUGGCCAGACCGGCGUUUCUCGGCUCAGAUUUUAUGUAGGAGAGAGAAGUAGAAGAAGCAGACCCCCCUACUGAGCAGGGAGCCCGAUGUGGGCCUCAAUCUCAGGACCCUGAGAUCAUGACCUGAGCCGAAGGCAGACGACGCCACCCAUGCCCCGCGCUGUGCGCUGUUUGAUAUCAGGCUUUUGAUGGACUCCUAAGAUGUGUUGGGAAGAGCUGUGUCUUU